GGUUACCGUUUGAGUAACUCGUUGAACUCAGAUACUUUUCAGGUCAUUUUCACCUUUAAAAUUACCUUUUUGUAGAAUGUCAGUGCAUAAUAAUGACAAGCUUUAUGUGUUUUGGUGUUUGUGUGUUUGUGUAGCGCAUAUACGACGAAAAAAAUAGAGUCAGGUAUGUAUAGCAUACUGAAAUUUGGGGGGGGGGGAAAUGAGAGGAAGAAUGUAGAGAUAAGGUGGCCGAGAUCAAGACAAAGAAAACUGGAAUGUAAAAUGAUGAUUUGAGAAAGAGUAAUAAAGAAUACACGUAAAAUGUGUUAACUUGACAUGCGUCCUUUUAUCACAAAAAUGCGGCGUGAUACCUUUGAAAAAAGUAUGUUAAAUGAUACCUGAAAAGAAUACGGUCAGCGCAAAUUUUGGAUGCAUAUUUUUUUCCUUUGUAGUUGGUGUGUUGAAAAUUACGGUAUCCUGGUAAUUGAGAGGAUUCUUCAGUUAGCUUAGAGAUCUGAGACAGUUUACAUCACUUGAGUUGAAAUCAAAGACUUCUUCAAAGCCAAGUUUCAGUUUUUGUCAACUGCAGCCUCAUUUGUGUGUUCUGUAGAUGCUCAAGACUUCUGAAAGAACAGUGUAUGUUUUCUUUCUCUAUGGUUUUGUUGGGUGCAUCUAGCACAAUUUGUGCAAUUUGUGAUAAAACACAAGUGAAACUAACAAUUCUUCUGUCCUUGUAGUACUGUUUUGUGACUUUCUUGUGUUUGUAAUUUUCUAUCCUUUGUGUUUUCUAGUGUAUGGCAGUCUGGUGUUAAGGACACUCAGGAAUCGUUCUGUGUAGAAGUUUAUGUGGAAAUUACUAACCUUGGCUAGAUACUGCCUGGUUCUGGCAUGAAAGAAAUACUGAUAGGGCUGUAAAUAAUGAAAGAAGUACUGCCAAGGCUGUCAAUACUGAAGUGAAAUGAAAUACUGAAUGAAAAAGUGUAAAGUCAAGACUGCAUUGAAUACCGGUAAAAUAAGGAAACAACCCUAUCUCUAGUGAUAUAUAAAUUACAUCUUUUAAGUGACAUAAAUUUGAAGACCAAAAA
rnacentral:lncRNA from 1 species